rnacentral:rRNA from 1 species
UGCGAAGCGAAGCAGUGAUGUGAAGCAAAUCGCACCAAAGCCGGUCCCAGUUCGGAUAAGAGGCUGAAACUCGCCUCUUUGAAGUCGGAAUCGCUAGUAAUCGCAGAUCAGCAUGUUGCGGUGAAUACGUUCCCGGGUCUCGUACACACCGCCCGUCAAACCAUGAGAGUCACCAACACCCGAAGUCCGCCUUGGCGGCCUAAGGUGGGGGAGAUGAUUGGGGUUAAGUCGUAACAAGGUACC